rnacentral:rRNA from 1 species
AUGGCGACCGGCGCACGGGUGAGUAACACGUAUCCAACCUGCCGAUGACUCGGGGAUAGCCUUUCGAAAGAAAGAUUAAUACCCGAUGGCAUAGUUCUUCCGCAUGGUGGAACUAUUAAAGAAUUUCGGUCAUCGAUGGAGAUGCGUUCCAUUAGGUUGUUGGCGGGGUAACGGCCCACCAAGCCUUCGAUGGAUAGGGGUUCUGAGAGGAAGGUCCCCCACAUUGGAACUGAGACACGGUCCAAACUCCUACGGGAGGCAGCAUG